rnacentral:lncRNA from 1 species
AUGGAACCUGGAGAUGUGGGCCACAGGACCACACCGCUGCACCAAUGCACGCGCACGUUAAAGACACGCACCCUGUGUCCCCGUCACACAGACACACCUAGGCGCUGCUCGUCCUCACACCGCAUCACAGAGAGGGGCGCGGCCUCGCCCGCCCCGCUGUCCCUCACCGAUGCCGCCACCCUCCCCCAGCUCCGCCGCGGUGCACCCGCUGCGGCGACCCGCGCUCUCACCGCCAGGCCGGGCCCCGCGGCCGCCACGGCUGGGCCCACGGAGUCGCUCUCGCUGGGACCCACGGCCGCUUCUCCCGCAGGUUCUAAACUACCUCGCAUCGCACACAAUUUGGAAAGAUUAGGAUUCCGGAUCAACCCAUUUCUUUGUCAAAUUCCUAGUGAUCUCAGCUGUACAAAUCCAUAGAGCAUAGCCAUAUUUGCACCCAAAGUAAAUCCGGACAUUCAUCAGGGAACAUUUCAGCCAAUGCAUCAUUUUGCUGAGGUGGAUGAAGACCUAAGACCUGGCAUAAGAUUGGGUCUUGCUCUAGUACAGUAUAUCAACCUCUUUCCAUUCCCAUCAAGGCUGAAAGAGGCUGCAUUAUUCACAUAAAAACCUCUCUUGAGAUUGAAUGAAGUGGUCAAGACAUUGAAGAUGGACAAGAGAUGUUCAGCAUUCUAAGUCCAGUAAAGUUUACUUGUUGUAAGUAUGACAGACUGUCAUGGUUUGAGUCUAGAUGUCCCCCGAAAGCCUCAUGCAGUCAUGGGGUGGGCUUCUAGAGGUUUUGAUUGAUCCAUGGUUCAAUGCUUGGAUUAUGGGUAUGAGUGCUACACCCACCCUGGGGCGGGUAGUUUGCAUACAAUAUAAGGGAGGGAAAGAGGUUUGCUCUCUGCCGCUCCUCCCUUUUUGCUCUUGCUGCUUUUGCUGUUUUCCACCUCCAUGAAUUGUUGCCCUCUGCCACGUGCCACUCUGCCUUGAAGCCAGCCAAGUAUGGACUGAAACCUAAGCAAACUGUGAGCUAAAUAAACCUUUCUUUUCUUAAUUCUGGGUGUCAGUAUUUUGUCUCAGCAAUGAGAGAGAAGUAACCAAGAUACAAACUAUCACUGUACUAGAACAGAAAGUAGUCAUUAAAUGUGAAGUUGAGAAAAAUAUUUAAAGAAACAGAAAACAUUUUGAUACUAAGUCAACAGAGAAGUCAGACUGACCAAUACAUUUCUUAUUGUAAAAUAGGAUUAUAUUAGCCAAUAUAGACAGUAAGACACAAAAAAUAAGACAGGAGUUAAAAAAUGUAUGGAGGUGCCUGGGAUAUAGAUCAGAGGCACAGUGCCUGCCUGGCAAGCGUUAAGAUCCUGAGUUUGAUUCCCGGUACAAAAAAAAAAAAAAGAAAGAAAAAGAAAAAAAUGUAUGGAAAUUAUAUAGCCAUAUAUUUGAAAUGCUUAUAUUUUUGUUUGGAUUAUUUAAAUAAUUUAACUCUUUUUGGUCAGUACAUGAAACAACUGAAUAAACCUAAAGUAGUAAAAGCCUUACUUAGAAACUUCUCCAUACUUAGAAUUUGAUAAUCAGUAUUUUACUUUUUGUUUUGAUCUUGAUUUUUACGUAUUUGUAAAUACUACGAUGUGUAGAAUUUAAAAGGGAGUGACCCAGGAUCCCCUCAAAUUACUAAAAGCUUAGUUUCCCCCUCCAAGUGUAUAUUAGCCAGAACUUCUUAUGUGCACCCAGAAGGAACUAUGUUGGAUGGAAUCUGUAAAUCAGUCUCACUAUAGGUCCUGGGGUCAGAGCUCAGGAACACUGUGUUUCUUAAACACAUACUUAUAGAAAACGCUCAGGGGGAAGUAAUCCUGCUGGGAAGAAAUUCUAUUCUUGGAACUGACAAAGAUUCUCUGCUUGACCCAACUUAGGUUAUGUUCCUGAACUUUCUUCAAGCCUGUACAAGGCUCAUCCUCCUAUCUUACUGGCUUCCACAUUCUCCACCAUCCCACAGGUGAGUCUGAUCACCUGUCCAGCAAGAAUCCUCUUAGGUCAGUUUAGGCACAACCCCUCUGGCUCCUGAAGUUUUCUCUUAUUUUUCAUCCAAUGAUUUCCUUCAUGCUGCUCCUUGGCUAUAAAAUCGCGUUGGUCCAUGUUGAGCCCAUUUUUCCUUCACAUCAAAAUCUCACCGCAGUGGGAUCUUCAUCUACCACAACGACCCAGGGUAAAGUCCUCCUUAACAUGCUUCAACAAGUAUCAUUAAAAUGUUUUUCUUUAAAAGAAUCCAUGUCUGUUUUAAGAGCAAUUUCUACUCCAAACCUACCCUGGUACCUGUUUCUUCUCACUGGAAACUUUCACGUAGGGCGUAAUAUCUGCCUGCCCAUCCGGGGCCACUUCUCUGCAGCAGUCAGUCACAGUGACUAAGAGAACACAGGCAGAGCGGAGGACCUGGAGCUCCCGGGUAACACAAACGCACGCAAAAGGACACUCACCCAGUGUCACCGUCACGCAGCGACAGCGACAGCCACGGACCGCUCGGUCUCACCACGCAUCCACCGCCGGGAAGCGCGGCCUCGUCCACCUCGCUGUCCCCGACAGAUGCCACCACCCUCCCCGCCGGCUCCCGCCGCGGCGCGCGGCACUGCGAUCCGCUCUCACCGCCACACUGCGCCCCGCGGAGUCUCUUUUGCAGCGACCCACUGGCCCCUUCUCCCUCAGGGAGACCGAGGUAGUGAAAACAGCCGGAGGUGGACGUCGCGGAGGGAGCUUGUGGGAAAUGUAGUCCACGCCAGCCGGUCCAGGCCGCAGUCUCCCGUGGGAAAUGGAGUCCAGGAAACCUGAAAAAUAGAGCGCCCCGUUCUGGGAAAACUGCCCCGCCCCGCCCACGCCCCGGCCCCGUCUCCUGACCCCGCCCCAUUCUCCAGCCUUCAAGCAGGAGCCCAGCGAGUCUGGAGUGCACAUGCGCAGAUGCUCAAGAGCGGGCUAUUUUGGUACUUUCUAUGGAGAGAAGACCUUACCUUACGGUUUUCAUUGGCC